CAAGUCGAGCGCUCGUAGCAAUACGGGAGCGGCGAACGGCGUAGGAAUUCAUAGGGAACGUACCCUUCCAGGACGGGGAUAGCUACGGGAAACUGUAGGUAAUACCCGAAUGAUCUCCGCGGAGCAAAGGUGUGAUUCCGCCUGAGGAGCGGCUUAUGCGAUAUUAGCUAGUUGGCGAGGUAAUGGCUCACCAAGGGCGAAGAUGUCUAGGGGGUGUGAGAGCAUGGCCCCCCACGACCGGAACUGAGAUACUGUCCGGACACCUACGGGUGGCUGCAGUCGAGAAUCUUCCGCAAUGGACGAAAGUCUGACGGAGCGACGCCGCGUGCGGGAUGAAGGCCCUUGGGUUGUAAACCGCUGUCAGUUGGGAGGAAAUGCUGGGGGGUUCUCCCCUCAGUUUGACCGAUCUUCAGAGGAAGGACGGGCUAAGUUCGUGCCAGCAGCCGCGGUAAGACGAACCGUCCAAACGUUAUUCGGUAUCACUGGGCUUAAAGCGUGCGUAGGCGGCCUGGUAGGUGAGGUGUGAAAUCCCACGGCUCAACCGUGGAACUGCGCUUCAAACCACUAGGCUCGAGGAUGGCAGGGGUGAUGGGAACUGAUGGUGGAGCGGUGAAAUGCGUUGAUAUCAUCAGGAACACCGGUGGCGAAGGCGCAUCACUGGGCCAUUUCUGACGCUGAGGCACGAAAGCUAGGGUAGCGAACGGGAUUAGAUACCCCGGUAGUCCUAGCCGUAAACGAUGAGCACUAGGUCGAGGGGACCUCCACAU
rnacentral:rRNA from 1 species